AUUGAACGCUGGCGGCAGGCCUAAUACAUGCAAGUCGAGCGGAUGAACGGAGCUUUCUCCUGGAUUCAGUGGCGGACGGGUGAGUAAUGCCUAGGAAUCUGACUUGCAUUGGGGGAUAACGUUCGUAAACGGGCGCUAAUACCGCAUACGUUCCGAGGGAGAAACUGGGGGUUCUUCGGACCUCACGCCUUUAGAUGAGCCUUGGCUGGAUUAGCUAGUUGGUGUGGUAACGGCAUACCAAGGCGACGAUCCGUAACUGAUCUGCGAGGAUGAUCAGUCACACUGGAACUGAGACACGGUCCAGACUCCUACGGGAGGCAGCAGUAGGGAAUAUUGGACAAUGGGCGAAAGCCUGAUGCAGCCACGCCGCGUGUGUGAAGAAGGUCUUCGGAUUGUAAAGCUCUUUUAUUUGGGAGGAAGAGAAGUAAGUUUAUACCUUGAUGUUUUGACGGUACCAAGUGAGUAAGCACCGGCUAACUUCGUG
rnacentral:rRNA from 1 species